CUUAGGUACCAGGGCACCUGAACAAAAAAUGAGGUGGCCCUUUUGACCCUCAUGCUUUGAGGUUCUGCACAGCUCAGGAAUCUAGUGGAGAAGAAAACUACUCCUCUGGGUAUCCAGUGAGAAAACUCUUCCUGUGGUGUUCCAAAUCUCAGAUUCUAUCCAGACCUGAACAGACGUGCCCAAAAUGCAGAUUCCACCACAAGAGAGGCCACUUCAUGGGAAAUUCAGGACAGCUAUAGGUGGUGAUUCUGGCAAAGGUGUGUCAUAUGCAAAGAAGCAGAUCUCAGUGAUAAGGAUAAAACCAGGAUGGGAGAAAACUGACAAAGAUGACCAGAAUGCAAAU